UACGUAGGGGGCAAGCGUUAUCCGGAUUUACUGGGUGUAAAGGGCGCGCAGGCGGCCGAGUCCGUCGGUGGUUUAAUCUCCAGGCCUAACCUGGAGGCGUCUACCGAUACCACUUGGCUUGAGGGCGGUAGAGGAGCACGGAAUUCCUGGUGUAGUGGUGAAAUGCGUAGAUAUCAGGAGGAACACCUGUGGCGAAAGCGGUGCUCUGGGCCGACCCUGACGCUGAGGCGCUAAAGCGUGGGGAGCAAAC
rnacentral:rRNA from 1 species